AGCGACUACAACGGGUGGAGCCUGCGGUUUAAUUGGAUUCAACGCCGGAAAUCUCACCGGGGGCGACAGCAAUAUGAAGGUCAGGCUGAAGACCUUACCCGAUUAGCUGAGAGGUGGUGCAUGGCCGUCGUCAGUUCGUACUGUGAAGCAUCCUGUUAAGUCAGGCAACGAGCGAGACCCACGUCCACAGUUGCCAGCAUACCCUCCGGGGUGAUGGGUACACUGUGGAGACCGCCGCUGCUAAAGCGGAGGAAGGAGUGGGCAACGGUAGGUCAGUAUGCCCCGAAUCUCCCGGGCUACACGCGGGCUACAAUGGUUGGUACAAUGGGCAUCUACCCCGAAAGGGGAAGGAAAUCUCUUAAAGCCAAUCGUAGUUCGGAUUGAGGGCUGCAACUCGCCCUCAUGAAGCUGGAAUCCGUAGUAAUCGCGUUUCAACAGAACGCGGUGAAUACGUCCCUGCUCCUU
rnacentral:rRNA from 1 species